rnacentral:rRNA from 1 species
AGCAGCCGCGGUAAUUCCAGCUCCAAUAGCGUAUAUUAAAGUUGUUGCAGUUAAAAAGCUCGUAGUUGAAUUUCGGGAUCAAUAUGUCGGUCGUGCCUCCGGUACGUACUGGCAUCAUUGAUUUCUCCCUUCUGACGAACCAUGAUGUCAUUAAUUUGGUGUCAUGGGGAAUCAGGACUGUUACUUUGAAAAAUUAGAGUGUUUAAAGCAGGCUCACGCUUGAAUACAUUAGCAUGGAAUAAUGAAAUAGGUACGUUUGAUUCUAUUUUGUUGGUUCUAGGGUCGACGUAAUGAUUAAUAGGGAUAGUUGGGGCAUUAGUAUUCAAUUGUCAGAGGUGAAA